rnacentral:rRNA from 1 species
GUCUACGGCCAUGCCACCCUAAACAGGCCCGAUCCCGUCUGAUCUCGGAAGCUAAGCAGGGUCAGGCCUGGUUAGUACUUGGAUAGGAGACCACCUAGGAAAACCAGGUGCUUUAAGUG